AAAAACACAACCACAAGUUAUGCCCGUGCUGUGCCUCUAGCAGCAAAGACAAGCGGUGUGGGGUUGGAUGAAUCUACACUUCUCGUCGGGGGAGAAAGGGUAUUUUCCUCUUUAGCAUAAGCCAUUUACAUAGUGUCUUUAGACCAGAGUUUAAAUUCAGCAGGAAAUUGUAGCUUAAUGGUUUUUUUUCUCUUUUCCUCUAUAUCUUUUGAAAAGAAGUCUUUGGAAUUUUGGAGAAAGAGAAAGGGUCAUUAACUACCAGAGUUUGCGCAGCUAAAAUAAAUUAGUGUCCAAUGCACUGCUCAUGAUCUAGAAAAGUUUGCAGUAGGAGUGAAGCGCAAUUGUGUCUGCUAAAAAGGGACAAUGGUGACUCGUUUGUAAGAUGCAUAUGGCAAAGAAUAGAACCAAAGUCCUUUGUAUAUAUAGCAAAUGUUAAAGAAAUUGUUGCUUAUUUACAUCCUUCUGAAAUUUUUGAACUCCACUCUAUUAAAAUUAUUAAUUUCUUAUGACCUUUAUUUGCAAAGAAAAUUCUAUGCUUUGAAUGUCAAAUUGCAGUAACUAAUUUCAGACAGUAUUUUGUAUUUGAAAAUGUGUUUAUAUAUAAUAAACUAAGAAAAGGUCUAUAUUCCAAACAAAAACACAAAAUUGUACUGAAAUUGUUUCCUUCAUUGAAAAGAUGUUGCCUUGUAUUCACAGGAUACCAGCUAAGUAAUUUAAAUAUUAAGAGGAAGACUAUUUAGAAACAGAAUAAGCUUUGUUAUUUUCGUUUAAAAUGUUAAGGGGCCUCUAAUGAAAAGGGGUUGUCUUUUAUAGCUCAAAUACUGAAAACCUUAUUGGUAUCACAGUAGCUCAAUAAUAAUGAAUCCUUAAGGCAUCCAACAAAUACAAACCAAAUUCAAAACAACGUCCAGUUUACUGUUGGAUAUAACGGUUAUUGUGGCCAGGCUAAAUGAAGUUGUUUAACUUCUUAAUUGUCAUAAAAGAAACUUUGUUCUUUUACUUUAUACUGCAUAUCACUUGUUUGUAUUUAAUUAUUCAAUAAAAUGUGGACUAGGUUUGAAAAACUGGCAAGAUACUUCAUAUCUUAAGGAAUAGUAUCUGCUUAAAAAUAAAUACUUGUUUGUCCCUAGUAAUUUUUAAAACUUGAAAUUUUAACUAGAAUUAAGUAACUUUCUUCUAAGUGAGACUUUAUAAGAAGCCGAAGUAACAGGUUGUUGACGUUCAGUGCUGUUGACACCUUUGGGUUAUAUAUAAAUCUAGUUCUACAACAAAACACGUAAGUUGGCUUUAUAGGUGAAUAGUUUACCCUUUAAGAAUCAGCCAGGGAAAAUGCAGUUUUGCUGUAUUGUAAUCAUAAAGAAUCCAGGAUUAGAAUUCUUUACAUUUAAGUCACAUUAAAAAUAGUGUUAAAUAAACAUCUAUUCAAGUUAGCUACAUCAGUAAUUAUUUUCUUUUUCCUAAAGAAAGCUUUAUAAAAAAUAUGCCAGAGAAAAAUAAGAGACAAAGCAAGAAAACCACUGGGAACUGAAGUUCAUCUAAAUAUCUCAGCUGCAAGAAAUCAGUUUUAAGAAGCCAGUGUGUGGACAUUGAAACAACUAAACCAAGGCUAAAAGCCUCAAAUAUGUACAACUAUAGCUAAUAUUAAACCAUGUUUUACCAAAUUUCCUCAUAAAAAAUAAAAAACACUGAGUUUGGGUCUAAGGCAGAAUAUAUUCUCUUGUAUAAAAUAAGUGAUCCGGCAAAGUUGAUUUUUUUUCACGUUUAAUGUAAAAAUGAUCUCGUGACAUUUACAUACUAAGUAUUAGGCAUUACAUAAUAUUAAUUUUGAUGGCUAUGUUACAUCAUCUAAAAAUAAUAUGACAAUUGGUGGCAUAGUAUGUGUUUUUCAAAACUGCUGUAAAACAGAAAUAGUGUGAACUCAAAUACAUAUUGCUGAAGGGAUGAGGAUCGCUCUUAAAUGCCUGGAUGGCAUGAACUUUACAUAUUAGCAUGGUAAGAAAUUACUAAAUCUUUUCUUUUCCUGUAUUAAAAUAAUGAGGAUCUAAGACACAUUAAAUCAAAAUAUUUACAAAAAUUUAAUAAUGUUUUAGACCAAAGAAAAAAAGGACAAAUUAAAGAAAUCAUUCUUAUUCUAAAUUUAAUUUUUUUAAUGUUAGUUCUCAGUUUUCUUAGCUUUUUUUUCUGUUGGUUCUUUGAAACAAGCAUUGUAAAGACUUUUUAAUAAUACAAUAGCUUUUAAACUCUUAGUGAAAAUGAAAAGGUUGCUUUUUGUAGUAGCCUCUGCCACUCUUCAAUUAGGCUGGGUAACAAAGCAACAAGUUAUCCUAGUUAUCUGAAAAUAUCUUCCUGUUAGUUUCACAGAAAUAUUUUGUACCAUUCAACAUGGAUGAAACUUGGGUAAUUAUCUCAAGAAAAUGUUGCCUCAUCUGAAAUCUGAACUUCAAAAUAGUUUAUCUAAGAUAUCUUUGGGACACUAAAAAAAAAGACAUUUUAUGAAAAUUAUACCAAUCUUCAAGUAGAUGCUUUAAAAGGGGCUUUUUAAAAAUGAAUAAUUAUUUCUGAAAUUAGCAAGUCGACAUCCUUUUCUAAAUUAUGGGAAUAUUUAUUGGUAAAAUUAAAUUUAUUAAUCUUUAUAAAAUCCUUCCUCUGAUUUAAGUAAUAAGUAACCACCACUGAUACUGAAAGUUAUCUAGUGAUAAGAAAUUGCACAUUUAGUCAAAAAAUAAAUCAUUAACCUGAUUAUACAAUGAUAAUGAAAACAAAUUAUUUGUCUCCAGAAACCAUUUGUUGAAGCUGAUUUUGGAUAAUGAAAAUGUAUUUCUGAAUCUAUAUAUUACAGUUAUAAGUAAUAUUACUAGCACUAUCUAUGUUUUUUCUAAGAUGUAAACAUUAUUUUAAUAUGUCUCUAUUCAUAAGAUACAUUUCCAUCUAAGCGUGAAACAGAAUACUGGAAAGGUUAAAUACUCUUAAAAUAUUUCAGUCUAACACCCAAAAGCAUAGUGUUUUGCCAGUGCAGGGGAGGUAUCCACAAAAUAUCAGGCACAUAUCUGAGAGAGGCAGUCUGGUCUACACUGUUACUCUUCAUAGGGUUUAACAACAUAUACACCGUGUUUAUGGUAACACUGCCCCACUGAUACAAGAAGGAAUGCUCUAUCUUGAUUUUAAAUGCUACUUAGUUACCUAUCUUUUUAAAUUCAAUAAAACCAACUCGGUUUUUUAAAACAUGUAAGUCAUUUCAUUGGAGGGCAAGAUCUUGUUUACCAAUAAUGUCUGCCUGUAAAGGAUAGUAUUGUAUUCACAGGAUUUUUAGCUUUACACAGAAGCUUACCUAAAAUAAGACAACAUAAAAAUACCACUAAUAAACAACCCAACAUCUUUAAGAAUUUAAAUACCUAACAUCAUGACAGUGAGCUUUAGGUAAGAAUGUAUUAUUAUGAAGCUUUCUUCUCUAUGACUGGACAUAAUUUGCUAUUCCUAAGAUAGUAACAUUAGAAUUAUUUUUCAGGAUUCCUGCGGAGCUGUAUUUACUUUACAUCCAUGUGAACUGCUGUCAUCACUACUGUGUCCAAGCCCAGAGGAUGAACUGGAAAAGAAGAGAGGGGGAAAAUAAUAAAAAGAGGAAAUUGGUUUUCACAACACACUCAAAGCCUGAGUAACAGAGGAGAACUUUAAUUAUCUCCAGUCACAAAGAGAGACAGGAAAUUUGGACUUUUAAUUAGCCAUUUGGAGUGCAGUUGGGUAUUUUUUUAGCUAGAUAAUUUAAACGCGAAUAAUUCAAGUCUGACUAAAUGAAAGUCACAUAAUCAGAAUGCAAAUAAUUGAAUUUCUACUGCAUUCAUUAAUUCAGUGUGGAGGUGUGUGUGAAGACUACUAUGAUGAGCUGUCACAGCUCAAUAAAAUCUCAGUCAAUUAAUUUUUUCAUUAUCUUAGUAUUAUAUCAACAAAAAAGUGAAGUGUGUAUAUAUAUCUAUACACGUGCAUAUGUGCAUACUAUGUAUUAUAUAAAUACAUAUACAUUAAAUCAAAAUGCAAGGAAAUACCUUUCUGAAUCAUAAUCUAUAUCAUUUUCUUUUUUUCCUUCUUCAUCUUCUUCAGGGAAACGUCUAUUCAUUAAGGCAAACUUGUGAAUUGCUUCUUCCACAGAGUACUUAGUCUGCCCAGAAACACACGCCUCAAUGUCUUCUGAAUUCAGAUGGCUCUGUAAGAAGAGGUGAAGGCUGCUAUCUGAAAGCAAAAGUGCAUUCUGUAGGACUCUAUAUUAAAAAAAAAAGGAAAAAUAAUUGGUGAACAGGAUGGUCAGUGAUAGGGUAGAAGAAAGAAAAACAUUAGAAAAGUACCACUGAAGGUAAUUUCUCUACUGUGGUAAACUUUGUAUCAAUUAUGGGCUCUGCCCAUUAAGGGGAGGAAAGCAUAUGUUAACUUUUAUUCAAUUAUUUGGAAAUUUAGGUGGGUAAAAACAUGAAGCUAAUAGUUAAGAACAUCUGUUAAAAGAAUAACUUCAAGGACAUUUCUUCAAUUUACCCAUCUCUUAUUACCAUGUGGAUUAAUUAUGGAAAUAUUUUGCUUAUAUAGUCAUAGAAAGUUAUUCUACUUUAAAAAAUUUACUGCCAACAGCAUGUCAAUUCAGUGAUCUUUAUGGGAUAGGCUGUCAUGAAACAUCAAAACUUUCAACUACUAUUAAAAAUUAUAUGAAGAAAAUACAAUUCUCAGCAUAUUUUACAUUUUAAAACUUUACAGUUAUAUACUUAAGGGCAUGUUUACGACAGCUCAUGAGAGAGAUGGCUUUUUUUAAUACUUAAGGUUAACUGUAAAUUUCUCCAAAAUCUUUAGGAGCACUGAAUCUCUGUGUUGUCAAAAUGAGCAACCAAAUAAAAUUGAUCCCAGCCAACUUUACCAUAUAUAUAAUUAAAAUAUGAUAAUUUUGUGAUGAAUACAUACUGCUCUUCCCACAUUUAAGAUCAAAGUUUACAAAGACAGAACAGAUUUCAACCAGGGCAUCAGAACUACAUGGAAGAUUAAAAACUAUCCUGUAGCAAAAUCUACAGAUGCUCAAAUUCAUAUUAGUGAAUGUGUUUUCUCUGAAAUGCACAUCUUAGAAUAUGAAAUCAAAUCAAAGUAUACCUUUAUAUUUAAAUAAAAACUGGUUUAUCUUUUA
rnacentral:lncRNA from 1 species